GAUGAACGCUGGCGGCGUGCCUAAUACAUGCAAGUCGAGCGAACGGACGAGAAGCUUGCUUUUCUGAUGUUAGCGGCGGACGGGUGAGUAACACGUGGAUAACCUACCUAUAAGACUGGGAUAACUUCGGGAAACCGGAGCUAAUACCGGAUAAUAUUUUGAACCGCAUGGUUCAUAAGUGAAAGACGGUCUUGCUGUCACUUAUAGAUGGAUCCGCGCUGCAUUAGCUAGUUGGUAAGGUAACGGCUUACCAAGGCAACGAUGCAUAGCCGACCUGAGAGGGUGAUCGGCCACACUGGAACUGAGACACGGUCCAGACUCCUACGGGAGGCAGCAGUAGGGAAUCUUCCGCAAUGGGCGAAAGCCUGACGGAGCAACGCCGCGUGAGUGAUGAAGGUCUUCGGAUCGUAAAACUCUGUUAUUAGGGAAGAACAUAUGUGUAAGUAACUGUGCACAUCUUGUCGGUACCUAAUCAGAAAGCCACGGCUAACUACGUG
rnacentral:rRNA from 1 species